AAUCAAAAAGCCACUUUUGCUUCCGAUAAUCGGCAGUAUCAACAAACUCGUCGGAGGAGAAGCAGGGGAACAGUCGGAGAGACAGUGGCGCGCGUUCAACCUCGAAAUAUUCAUUCGCGGGCCGAUUCCGAGAACCAUCGCCGAUCGUUCGUAGUUUAUAAAUUUGUUCCUAAAAUAAAUCCUGCCUAGUUUUAUUUGAUUCAACGGGCGACAUCCUGCUGACGGUCAGUGUGUGUGCGAUUUUCACGAACAUUUCCACUACCAACUACCAAUAAGUGAUUUGGUACCCCAAUAGGUACCAACACGGAAACGCGUUGCAAUAUUGUUGUUGUUGUGGUGCUAAUUUACUGUGCCGUAGCAGCGAGGUGACCUCGAACAGUAUUUUUUACAUUUCUAUUGGAUAUAAUCAUGUCGCUUAGUAAGGUAGCAGCACAGAUGCAUUAGGAGAGCGGCCCUAUGAUGCAACCCACCUAAGUGAUGUCAUUGAAGUCAUUAAGGAGACUGACCCGGACUUUAAAGAGUCCAGCAGAGGGACACGAAGUGAA
rnacentral:lncRNA from 1 species